UAACAAGCGGGGUGUUAAAGGUAACGGAAAGGAAACACAUCCCUUGUUGUUGAAGGAUGCAGUACCAAGCCGAAGGAAUUUUAUAUAAGCUGCAGGCUCGGGGUGAUGGGAAAGAGGAGUGACCCAGGACAGCACCACCGAGUCACCCCCACCGUGCCAACGCCGGCAAUGGGAAAGGGAGGAGAUGGAGGCACUGAGUCUGCACAUCUUACUCGUCUGAACUCCAGACUUCAUUUCACAAGGAGACCAUGUACAGAAAGAAUCAAUUCAAAGAACUUACAAAUUACUAAGUGUCCCACUGGCAAUAAAAUUGCCACAGAGUUUAAUACAAUCACCCACAGAGUUUAAUACAAAAGUUGUCGUGUU